GUACGUGCGCGUCCCCCGGCCGAAUGCAGCCGUGGGGAGCGGGGUGGGCAGGGGCCGCCGGCGCCUCGCGGACUCCGAGGUUGUGAUUUUGUUCUUUUCGUGUGACAUCCUCAUGCGUGCGCUAGCUGGAAACUCCUUAAAGACUCGGAGAGUUGCUGCGGGUUCUUGGAGGAGCGGUUUGAGGGUGCGCCUCUUGGCUCCCUCGGGUCGAUUCCGGCGAAGUAAACUUAGAGAAAUGAACAAAUCCUACGAACCGGAGAGGCAGGUCAGGGGGUCCCGGAGUAGCCACGUUCAGCGUUAAGAGAGGAGUCCCCGGAUGGACAAGGUCAACUCAUCCAGUUCUGGGACAGAUGUUACUUGUUGCGCUUCGGCGAGAUCUUUCGGCUUUAUCGACCUAGUACUCAGGCGAAAAGACUGCCACAUCACUAAACUGCCACCCCAGAUGAGAGGAGCAAGGAGGGCACCAACAAGAACAUCACCUGGAAGAGAGGAAGAUGGUGCUGGGGGUCAGGAGUGACCUUAAAGGGAGACCUUGACUUCUGUGAUCUUUACAAUGUGAUGAAAUUGUGUUUGGAACACCCGUGAUGAUGUCUACAGGUGAUGCUGUGGUCCUCCCCAAAUUCUGACAGAUGAAGAAUCGCCAAGUCGGGAGAGUUCAGGGAGUCAUCAGCCCCUAACGAAGUCCUUGAGCUUCACCAGAAACUCUUUAGGGUUCUUUCCCCCUCAAGAAACACUCACUCCCCGUUUAGCGUUUAGUAGCAGCUGGCAGAGGUGAGCAGGCCAAUUUUAUUCAAAAAGAGCAGCCCAGAAAGUAAGACAAAAUAAGAAGGAAAUAGUUAUGGCACAUCUGAGAAGAGCGUAAAUGGGCACGGUACCAAGUGCGGCUUCCUGGACCUUAAACGGAAGUUACCCGAUCAACCACGUGGGCACCCACUCUCCAGCCCUCCGCCAGUCUGUGCACUGGACACUCCAUCACGUCCCCUCCUCUGAAUUCUGAGCUUCCACCCAAGUCCAUCCAGGGCUGCCUUGAGCUUCUCGUGUCUUGUCAGAGAAACAUGCUUUGCCAUUGCCAGUUAUUCCAUAGAGGUUGAAACAGAGCGACCUGGCCCUCUCCCAACCCAAGUGAGCUCUGCUCACCUCUGAACUCUUGAACUCACUCCACAGGUGAAAACCACCUUUGCCUACCUCGCAGCCAUGUUCCAUGGCUCCAUGUUCCAGGGAGCAGCUGCUUAAAGUCUACCCACUAGGAGCCACAGCGGGAACUCCAGGAGACAACCAGAGCAUGUAUUCAACAAAAAGUUCUCACUUACUUUUUCUUAGAAAAGUUUAGUAAUUCAUCUCACUUUCAGUAACGGCCUAUUAAUAAAAGACGUUGUAUUUUACUCAAGCUGUGUUCCA
rnacentral:lncRNA from 1 species